rnacentral:rRNA from 1 species
UGGGGAAUUUUGGACAAUGGGGGAAACCCUGAUCCAGCCAUCCCGCGUGUGCGAUGAAGGCCUUCGGGUUGUAAAGCACUUUUGGCAGGAAAGAAACGUCGUGGGUUAAUACCCCGCGAAACUGACGGUACCUGCAGAAUAAGCACCGGCUAACUACGUGCCAGCAGUCGCGGUAAUACGUAGGGUGCAAGCGUUAAUCGGAAUUUGGCAGUAAAGCGUGCGCAGGCGGUUCGGAAAGAAAGAUGUGAAAUCCCAGAGCUUAACUUUGGAACUGCAUUUUUAACUACCGGGCUAGAGUGUGUCAGAGGGAGGUGGAAUUCCGCGUGUAGCAGUGAAAUGCGUAGAUAUGCGGAGGAACACCGAUGGCGAAGGCAGCCUCCUGGGAUAACACUGACGCUCAUGCACGAAAGCGUGGGGAGCAAACAGGAUUAGAUACCCUGGUAGUCCACGCCUAAACGAUGUCAACUAGCUGUUGGGGUCUUCGGACCUUGGUAGCGCAGCUAACGCGUGAAGUUGACCGCCUGGGGAGUACGGUCGCAAGAUUAAAACUUAAAUGAAUUGACGGGGUCAUAGCUGUUUCC